CCAAAGAAAGCAGUGAUGAAAGGCAUGGAAUGAUUAGAAAAGGAGAAAAAUGAUCGUCAUGAGCAAGAACAAGUGAUAAUAUGUCUCUUUAGUUCACUUAAGGAAGAAGAAAAUGACUAAUAGAAUCAAGAAAGUGUAAGACAAAAUGAGAAAAUAGAGUGCUUACGGAAAGAUGAACCAUCAUAUGCCAAUAAGUCCUACCCUGAUCCAAAAGCCUUUAUUACAUUUCUGCAAAAGCCCUAUAUGUUUUCGAGUUGAG
rnacentral:lncRNA from 1 species